rfam:Sphingobacteriales bacterium 50-39 SCNpilot_cont_1000_p_scaffold_2, whole genome shotgun sequence.
GGCGGAAGGCCCGCCGGAGCCGGCAUACAGGUGCGGGCUUCAAACCAGCUUGAACAAUUCUGUCGAAAGGAUAGGGUUGGAAGCGACAAGUCAAAAGGCACUUUGAAGAGUCAGGU